UACGUAGGGGGCAAGCGUUGUCCGGAAUCAUUGGGCGUAAAGAGCGUGUAGGCGGCCAGAUAAGUCCGCUGUGAAAUCUCGAGGCUCAACUUCGAGCUGUCGGUGGAAACUGUCUGGCUAGAGUCCGGAAGAGGAGAAUGGAAUUCCUGGUGUAGCGGUGAAAUGCGCAGAUAUCAGGAGGAACACCAGUGGCGAAGGCGGCUCACUGGCCCGAUACUGACGCUGAGGUGCGAAAGCGUGGGGAGCAAACAGG
rnacentral:rRNA from 1 species